rnacentral:rRNA from 1 species
CCUACGGGAGGCAGCAGUGAGGAAUAUUGGUCAAUGGGCGCGAGCCUGAACCAGCCAAGUCGCGUGAGGGAAGACGGUCCUAUGGAUUGUAAACCUCUUUUGUCGGGGAGCAAAAGACGCCACGCGUGGCGUUCCGAGAGUACCCUACGACCAAGCAUCGGCUAACUCCGUGCCAGCAGCCGCGGUAAUACGGAGGAUGCGAGCGUUAUCCGGAUUUAUUGGGUUUAAAGGGUGCGCAGGCGGAAGAUCAAGUCAGCGGUAAAAUUGAGGGGCUCAACCUCUUCGAGCCGUUGAAACUGGUUGUCUUGAGUGAGUGAGAAGGAUGCGGAAUGCGUGGUGUAGCGGUGAAAUGCAUAGAUAUCACGCAGAACUCCGAUUGCGAAGGCAGCAUACCGGCGCUCAACUGACGCUCAUGCACGAAAGUGUGGGUAUCGAACAGGAUUAGAUACCCUUGUAGUC